GAUGAACGCUGGCGGCGUGCCUAAUACAUGCAAGUCGAGCGAACAGACGAGGAGCUUGCUCCUCUGACGUUAGCGGCGGACGGGUGAGUAACACGUGGAUAACCUACCUAUAAGACUGGGAUAACUUCGGGAAACCGGAGCUAAUACCGGAUAAUAUAUUGAACCGCAUGGUUCAAUAGUGAAAGACGGUUUUGCUGUCACUUAUAGAUGGAUCCGCGCCGCAUUAGCUAGUUGGUAAGGUAACGGCUUACCAAGGCAACGAUGCGUAGCCGACCUGAGAGGAUGAUCGGCCACACUGGAACUGAGACACGGUCCAGACUCCUACGGGAGGCAGCAGUAGGGAAUCUUCCGCAAUGGGCGAAAGCCUGACGGAGCAACGCCGCGUGAGGGAUGAAGGUCUUCGGAUCGUAAAACUCUGUUAUUAGGGAAGAACAAAUGUGUAAGUAACUAUGCACGUCUUGACGGUACCUAAUCAGAAAGCCACGGCUAACUACGUG
rnacentral:rRNA from 1 species